GACAAGACUGCCCUCUAUAGACCAAAUACCUAAAUUGCAAUCUGAAAGAUAAGCACACCUCUAGUGCUUCUAUUGGGUUAUCAACUGAUGACGUACAGAGAGUCUGGCCCUUUAAAAGUUAGGACAAAGUAAAGAGAGGGGAUGCAAAGAAGUGAGCAGUCGGGAGCAAUGACACUCUAGGACACUAUUACCUACACACCUCCAUGCAGAGAGACAUCCAAAUAAGUUUCUGAGACUAUCUACCAAUCGGAUGAAAUAUCUACUCAACUGGUAAUUAUACUGGUUUCAUUUAAUUAAUUAAAUUAAUUAAAAUGUACUAAUAG